rnacentral:tRNA from 1 species
GGGGCUGUAGCUCAGUGGUAGAGUUCUUGCCUACCAUGUAUGGGAUAUUAGGUUCAAGCCUCAGCACCA